rnacentral:rRNA from 1 species
GGAUGCGAUCAUACCAGCAUUAAUGCAUCGGAUCCCGUCAGAACUCCAAAGUAAAGUGUGCUUUGAUUAGAACGGUACUAGGAUGGGUGACCCCCUCCCUCCCCCACCCCCCACCCCCUCGAAAAGUACUCAUGUUAUAUCCC